GACGAACGCUGGCGGCAUGCCUAAUACAUGCAAGUCGAGCGAACAGAUGAAGUGCUUGCACUUCUGACGUUAGCGGCGAACGGGUGAGUAACACGUAAGGAAUCUACCUAUAAGCGGGGGAUAACAUUCGGAAACGGGUGCUAAUACCGCAUAAUAUCUUCUUCCGCAUGGAAGAAGAUUGAAAGACGGCUCUGCUGUCACUUAUAGAUGACCUUGCGGUGCAUUAGUUAGUUGGUGGGGUAACGGCCUACCAAGACGAUGAUGCAUAGCCGACCUGAGAGGGUGAUCGGCGACAUUGGGACUGGGCAACGGCCCAAACUCCUACGGGAGGCAGCAGUAGGGAAUCUUCCGCAAUGGGCGAAAGCCUGACGGAGCAAUGCCGCGUGAGUGAAGAAGGCCUUCGGGUCGUAAAACUCUGUUAUAAGAGAAGAACAAAUUGUAGAGUAACUGCUACAGUCUUGACGGUAUCUUAUCAGAAAGCCACGGCUAACUACGUGCCAGCCGCCGCUGUAA
rnacentral:rRNA from 1 species